rnacentral:sRNA from 1 species
GUUUAGCCCUGAUAGCAGCGGCAUCCUUUUACUUUUUUCCUUUGAAAAGUAAAAGAUAUAGCGAAUAGCGGGAAAUAGC